ACAUUUUACAAUUAAUACUCUCUAAUGUGUGAACUAGACUUUGGUUCUUUGUAUGAUGUAUCCAAUGUGAAAAGAAAACAAAAUAAUAAAAUAAAAAACUUGUGACGAAUGUAAAUUUGCUGUCACUAUCUUAGCUAAAUAAAAAAUCAAAAUAAUCAUUGUGUGAACAUCAUUGGUCACAUUAAAUAAUAAUUUAAUGUAAUAUUUUAACUCAAUAUCUCUACCACAAAACCAAUAAUUCUUCCAUCUAUAAAUACUCUUUCUUGCUUCUCAUUUUUCCUCCCCCUUCACCUUGCACCCUUUCAUUGAACUAUAUUGCUCUCUAACUUUUGCUUCUUCAUACCCUCCUCUUCCUUAAUCCUCUCAUCACUUCAUUCUUUUGUUUCUGGUAAGCAAAUGACUUCAACUACUCUUAUUAUUAUAUGCUCUUAUUCUUAAUGAUGACUCAUUAAAAAGAAAAAAAUACACUAUUAAGGAGUGAAUAAAUGUUUAGAAUUCUAAGAGAAAUAUACACUAUAUAUUAUGUGCUUUUUUAAUUCUAGACAUAUCUUUGAGAACCGUACCUC
rnacentral:lncRNA from 1 species